rnacentral:rRNA from 1 species
UACAGAGGGUGCGAGCGUUAAUCGGAAUUACUGGGCGUAAAGCGCGUGUAGGCGGGUCGGUGUGUCGGGUGUGAAAUCCCCAGGCUCAACCUGGGAACUGCAUUCGAAACUACCGGCCUAGAGUGGUGGAGAGGGAAGUGGAAUUCCUGGUGUAGAGGUGAAAUUCGUAGAUAUCAGGAGGAACACCAGUGGCGAAGGCGGCUUCCUGGACACCAACUGACGCUGAGACGCGAAAGCGUGGGGAGCAAACAGG